rnacentral:lncRNA from 1 species
CUGGAAAACAUGGGAAACUGAGUGUAAAUAGAGAGAUAAGACAGUGCUUAGGGAGAAGACUGAUGUUAUAAAUGCCAAGGGUCAUACUUCUUGUUGAAACAAAUAAAUAAAGUCUUGCUGAAUGCUGGUGAGCCUCACUGGGGCUAUGCCAAGGAAGACUGAGUCCUCUGAUAUAUGGAGAGCCAAUCCAGGGCACGGCAACAUAACAUCUCCAAGGCAAAAUGCAGCAGCAAGAUCUUCAGCCCUUGAGAAGUGCUCAUCUCCUCUCUGUGAAAUCCUUCUCAGAUUCAGCAGGUCAUCACACUUCCUUCAGCUGCCCUGUCUCAAGGCUAUCUUCCCCAAAGGCAUCCAGUCAUCGUGCAGAAACAGAGACCAAGAGCAGAGUUUGCUGCAGUCAUUAGUCACUUCUGUUGCUUUGGGGUAUGGAUGAAAUAUGUCAAAAAGAAACAUGGGAAGCAAGUACCAACCUCCCACCAGUUGCAGCAAAGCGAGAGCUGGACUCAGCAAAGUUGAAUGGAAAGUGAAGUAAACGGGCAAAAUCUCCCACACUAUAUCUAAUCCAAUUUUCUCAGAGAUGAGCUCAGAACAAAAUGGUGUUGUGGGGAAAUAUAGGUUGGUGUUGUUGAUAAAAACAUCAGUUUAACACUUAGAAAUACUCCUGUACCCACCCAGGAGAAAAGAUAAAGGCUUAAACCUUGCCCAUCCUUGUGACACUACAUAAAACCACAGUUUUGAAUCAUUCUGGCUCCCUUUCCCGUCCCAAAGUGGAUAUGUGGUGAUAAGAAUGGGUACAGAAGAGGCCAAAGAGGAGACAUAGCAAAGCUGCAAAGUCGAGGAAUCAUAGAAUCAUUAAGGCUGGAAAAGACCUCUAAAAUCAUCAGGUCCAGCCCCAACCCACCCUCACCAUGCCCACUGACCACGUCCCUCAGUGCCACAUCUCCAUGGUUCUUGAACACCUCCAGGGAUGGUGACUUCACCACUUCUCUGGGUGAUGUUCAAAUGGGACUUUCAAAAUUAGUUGAGACUUCUACUGUGCAUUCAUUGUCACGAGACACAGAGUGUUUGGAUUC